CCCCUCGCUAGCGUGCUACACAUCCGGGCUUCUGCUACUAGUGAGGGGAAGAUGGCGGCCGCAACUGUGGUGAUUCCUGUAGAGUGGAUAAAGAACUGGGAGAAAUCAGGGAGAGGCGAAUUUUUGCAUUUAUGCCGGAUCCUCAGUGAAAAUAAAAGCCAUGAUAGUUCAACUUAUAGAGAUUUCCAGCAAGCUCUUUACGAGUUAUCAUACCAUGUCAUUAAAGGAAAUUUAAAGCAUGAACAGGCAUCUAAUGUUCUUAAUGACAUCAGUGAAUUUCGUGAGGAUAUGCCCUCCAUUCUUGCUGAUGUAUUCUGCAUAUUAGAUAUUGAGACAAAUUGUUUAGAAGAAAAAAGCAAGAGAGACUAUUUUACACAAUUGGUAUUAGCAUGUUUGUAUUUAGUUUCAGACACAGUUCUAAAGGAACGCUUGGAUCCAGAAACAUUGGAAUCCUUAGGGCUUAUCAAACAAUCACAGCAAUUCAAUCAAAAGUCAGUUAAAAUCAAGACAAAACUCUUUUAUAAGCAGCAAAAAUUUAAUUUGUUAAGAGAAGAGAAUGAAGGUUAUGCCAAGCUGAUUGCUGAAUUGGGGCAAGAUUUAUCUGGAAAUAUUACUAGUGAUUUAAUCUUAGAAAACAUCAAAUCUUUAAUAGGAUGCUUUAAUCUGGAUCCCAAUAGAGUUCUGGAUGUCAUUUUAGAAGUGUUUGAAUGCAGGCCAGAACAUGAUGACUUCUUUAUAUCUUUAUUAGAAUCUUACAUGAGUAUGUGUGAACCGCAAACACUGUGUCAUAUUCUUGGGUUCAAAUUCAAGUUUUACCAGGAACCAAAUGGAGAAACUCCUUCAUCUUUAUACAGAGUUGCAGCAGUACUUCUACAAUUUAAUCUUAUUGAUUUAGAUGAUCUUUAUGUACAUCUUCUUCCAGCUGAUAAUUGCAUUAUGGAUGAACAUAAACGAGAAAUUGUAGAAGCUAAGCAAAUUGUUAGAAAACUUACAAUGGUUGUGUUGUCUUCCGAUAAAAUUGACGAGCGAGAGAAGGAAAAGGAAAAAGAAGAGGAGAAAGUGGAGAAGCCACCUGACAACCAAAAACUUGGUUUGUUGGAAGCCUUGUUAAAGAUUGGUGAUUGGCAGCAUGCGCAGAACAUUAUGGAUCAGAUGCCUCCAUACUAUGCAGCUUCACAUAAACUAAUAGCCCUUGCUAUUUGCAAGCUUAUUCAUAUAACUAUUGAGCCUCUCUACCGAAGAGUUGGCGUUCCUAAAGGUGCUAAAGGCUCACCUGUUAAUGCUUUGCAAAAUAAGAGAGCACCAAAACAAGCAGAGACCUUUGAAGAUUUGAGGAGAGACGUCUUCAAUAUGUUCUGUUACCUUGGUCCCCACCUUUCUCACGAUCCCAUUUUAUUCGCAAAAGUGGUGCGCAUAGGCAAGUCAUUUAUGAAGGAGUUUCAGUCUGAUGGAAGCAAACAAGAAGAUAAAGAGAAAACGGAAGUUAUCCUUAGCUGUUUGCUUAGCAUUACUGACCAGGUAUUACUUCCAUCUCUUUCUUUGAUGGACUGCAAUGCUUGUAUGUCUGAGGAACUGUGGGGAAUGUUUAAAACAUUUCCAUAUCAGCAUAGAUAUCGUCUGUAUGGCCAGUGGAAGAAUGAAACUUACAACAGUCAUCCACUUUUAGUAAAAGUUAAAGCUCAAACAAUAGACAGAGCCAAAUAUAUCAUGAAGCGUCUAACCAAGGAAAAUGUGAAGCCUUCUGGAAGACAAAUUGGGAAGUUGAGCCACAGCAAUCCAACCAUUUUGUUUGAUUAUGUAUGUUUUGAGAUCUUGUCACAAAUACAGAAGUAUGAUAACUUAAUAACACCUGUAGUAGAUUCAUUGAAAUACCUCACUUCAUUGAAUUAUGACGUCUUGGCCUAUUGUAUCAUUGAAGCUUUAGCUAAUCCAGAAAAGGAGAGAAUGAAACAUGACGACACAACCAUCUCAAGCUGGCUUCAGAGUCUGGCUAGUUUCUGUGGAGCAGUUUUUCGUAAAUAUCCAAUUGAUCUUGCUGGUCUUCUUCAAUAUGUGGCUAAUCAGCUAAAGGCAGGCAAAAGUUUUGACCUGCUUAUAUUGAAAGAAGUGGUACAAAAAAUGGCAGGAAUAGAAAUUACAGAAGAAAUGACAAUGGAGCAACUAGAGGCCAUGACUGGUGGAGAGCAACUAAAAGCUGAGGGUGGUUAUUUUGGCCAGAUAAGAAACACUAAAAAAUCCUCCCAGAGAUUAAAGGAUGCACUAUUAGAUCAUGAUCUUGCUCUUCCUCUGUGUUUGCUUAUGGCUCAGCAGAGGAAUGGGGUAAUCUUUCAGGAAGGUGGAGAGAAACAUUUGAAACUUGUGGGAAAACUCUAUGAUCAGUGUCAUGAUACCCUGGUACAGUUUGGUGGGUUUUUAGCAUCUAAUCUAAGCACAGAAGAUUAUAUAAAGCGAGUGCCUUCAAUCGAUGUGCUCUGUAAUGAAUUUCACACACCCCAUGAUGCAGCAUUUUUCCUGUCUAGGCCUAUGUAUGCACACCAUAUUUCGUCCAAGUAUGAUGAACUUAAAAAAUCAGAGAAGGGAAGUAAACAGCAACAUAAAGUUCAUAAGUAUAUUACAUCAUGUGAAAUGGUGAUGGCUCCUGUCCAUGAAGCAGUGAUUUCCUUACACGUUUCCAAAGUCUGGGAUGACAUCAGCCCUCAAUUCUAUGCCACAUUCUGGUCAUUGACAAUGUAUGACCUUGCAGUUCCGCAUACCAGCUAUGAACGGGAAGUCAAUAAACUUAAAGUCCAGAUGAAAGCAAUUGAUGACAAUCAGGAAAUGCCUCCAAAUAAAAAGAAAAAAGAGAAGGAGCGAUGUACUGCCCUUCAGGACAAGCUUCUUGAAGAAGAAAAGAAACAGAUGGAGCAUGUACAGCGAGUUCUACAGAGACUGAAACUGGAAAAGGACAACUGGCUUUUAGCAAAAUCUACCAAAAAUGAGACCAUCACAAAAUUUCUACAGCUGUGUAUAUUUCCUCGAUGUAUUUUUUCAGCAAUUGAUGCUGUUUACUGUGCUCGUUUUGUUGAAUUGGUACAUCAACAGAAAACUCCAAAUUUUUCCACACUUCUUUGCUAUGAUCGAGUUUUCUCUGAUAUAAUUUACACGGUCGCAAGCUGUACAGAAAAUGAAGCCAGUCGAUAUGGUAGAUUCCUUUGCUGCAUGUUAGAAACUGUGACCAGGUGGCACAGUGAUAGAGCCACAUAUGAAAAGGAAUGUGGAAAUUAUCCAGGGUUUCUUACUAUAUUACGGGCAACUGGAUUUGAUGGUGGAAAUAAAGCUGAUCAAUUAGACUAUGAAAAUUUCCGACAUGUUGUGCAUAAAUGGCAUUACAAACUAACCAAGGCAUCGGUACAUUGCCUUGAAACAGGCGAAUAUACUCACAUCAGGAAUAUCUUGAUUGUGCUAACAAAAAUACUUCCUUGGUACCCGAAAGUUUUGAAUCUGGGUCAGGCUUUGGAAAGAAGAGUGCAUAAAAUCUGCCAAGAGGAAAAAGAGAAGAGGCCAGAUCUAUAUGCAUUGGCUAUGGGCUACUCUGGGCAGUUGAAAAGUAGAAAGUCAUACAUGAUACCUGAAAAUGAAUUUCAUCACAAAGACCCCCCUCCGAGGAAUGCAGUUGCCAGUGUACAAAAUGGGCCUGGUGGUGGGCCUUCUUCAUCGUCAAUAGGAAGUGCAUCUAAAUCAGAUGAAAGCAGUACCGAGGAGACUGAUAAAUCAAGGGAGAGAUCUCAGUGUGGUGUGAAAGCUGUUAAUAAAGCUUCUAGUGCCACACCGAAAGGGAAUUCAAGCAAUGGAAACAGUGGCUCUAACAGCAGCAAAGCUGUUAAAGAAAAUGACAAAGAAAAAGGGAAAGAGAAAGAAAAAGAGAAAAAAGAAAAGACUCCAGCUACUACUCCAGAGGCCCGAGUACUUGGUAAAGAUGGUAAAGAAAAACCGAAGGAAGAACGACCAAAUAAAGAUGAAAAAGCAAGAGAGACGAAGGAAAGAACACCUAAGUCUGACAAAGAGAAAGAAAAAUUCAAGAAGGAAGAAAAAGCUAAAGAUGAGAAAUUCAAGACCACUGUCCCCAAUGUAGAAUCAAAGUCGACUCAAGAAAAGGAAAGAGAGAAGGAGCCAUCCAGAGAAAGAGAUAUAGCAAAGGAAAUGAAAUCAAAGGAAAAUGUUAAAGGAGGAGAGAAAACACCAGUUUCUGGGUCCUUGAAGUCACCUGUUCCCCGAUCAGAUAUUGCAGAGCCUGAAAGGGAACAAAAACGUCGCAAAAUUGAUACCCACCCCUCUCCAUCACAUUCCUCAACAGUAAAGGUUAGUAUAGCCUGAGGAAGGCAGCGUCCAUGUUAGGCUCACCUGUUUGGAAUACGUGUCCUGACUUCCUUCAAGUCUUGUGCCAAGUAUUCACUGGAGCCACUGGAGGUUUUAUAUUGCAUUAGAAAAUGAAUUUUUUACAUAUUGGUGGACUGAUUUUUUUUUUCCUAUUGAGUAUUUUUCUUAUAAAAAUAUUAAAACUUCAAGGACCUAGCACUAAUUUUGUAGUGUUUCAAAGUGCAAGAGAAAUUUUACCCAGAAGUGCCUCACUGCUUUAAGCAGUCUUUUUUGGAGUGCAAUGGUAGCUACAAGCAAAUGAAUCUUUUCAGCAGAAUGAAGCCCAUUUUUCGGCAUAAAUAUGGAAGAAUAUAUAGCACUGAAGACUUCCUGGAUGAUACAGGAUAAACAAGAUACCUCUGAAUUCAUCAAGCUUCUUGAUGAGCAUCAUACCGAUGUGUGCCUUCUAAGAAGGAGUCUUGAAAGGAGUUCCAUUUUAAAGUCUCCUUGGUGAUCAGUUCUCCUGUAGUUGUGUAUAUUCAGUGAGCAUGCAGCUUCUGUUGUAUCUUCCCUUGGAGGUUUGUUUAUACCCAUUGGGUUCCCAACAAGUUGAACCUUCCGUUACGAUAAAAGCAGAUGUGGCAUCCAAUCCUACCACCCAGCAAAGAGAAACCCCAGGCAUUCAACUGCAGCACAAAAUCGUGGGUGUAGCCUUCUUGAAGACUCAGGGUAGCCAUUCCUUGCUCCAUAUUUAAUUUUAAUUCUAAAGUCAUCUAAUUUCAUGGAAUCUUUGAAUUUGCAGUACGUUGAACUUUUAAACCUGACAGUCUCAUCGAACUCAAGGAGUCUUCAGCAAAGCUCUACAUUAAUCAUACUCCUCCACCACUGUCCAAGAGUAAGGAGAGAGAAAUGGACAAGAAAGAUUUGGACAAGUCGAGGGAAAGAUCCAGAGAAAGAG